rnacentral:lncRNA from 1 species
GAUGCAGGCUUGAAAUCACCAAUAGCAGAAGCAACAGUUCUCUAGAGCAUGCAGCCAUUUUGUGUAUUCUUAAAGACUAGAUGCCCUUGAUAGAUUUCCUUCUUGUAGAAUGUAAGUAAGAAGUAAACUAGAGAUUGUAGAGUUUGAUGAUGGAACGAGGUAGGGGGUUAAAGAAGAGGUUCUUGAUAGAUUUCCUUCCUGUGGUUAGAAGGAAACUAGAGAUUGUAGAGUUUGAUGACGGAAUGAGGUAGGAGAGCUAAAGAAGAGAUGACCUUGCUAGAUUUCCAAUUUGUGGGAUGUGAGACAGAAGGAAGCUAGAAGAUCGUAGUUUGAUGAUGGAAUGAGGUACGGGAGACAGGCUCUCAAUAUAUACAUCCAUCCAUCAUGACUUCAUGCAUGUUUUGAAGACC